rnacentral:lncRNA from 1 species
CUCUAACGCGGUGAUAGACUGUUUAUUUGAUGGACACUCGAUAUUACUAGCUCGCGGGGCCGUCUUUACUAACCCUAGAAAAUCGAUUUGUCUAUCUCCAAAAUCCAAAUCGCUCCGAUGCCUUUGAUGUUCAGAUCUUCCGAUGCUCCUGUCGCAGAUGACUUUCGCCCUUCUCUACAACGACCCUUCAUAUUCCCUCCUUUCUCAAAUCUAAAUUUUUACACAUAGAAAUCAAAUAUUUUGGUGGGUGUUUAGUGUGAUAAGGGCGAGUCAUCUGUGACAGGAUGAAGGAAAAUCUAGUUAUCAGAGGCUUAUUGGGGCGUUUUCAUCCAAAAUCUCCAACUCUAGUAGAGUAUUCUUCAAAGCACCACUGGUAAACAUUUCUAUUUAUUUGUAGUUAUUUUGUUGCGUAUUAUUUGCUUCCGAUCUUAUGUUAUGUUAACAAAAGUUACUAUUUUGUUUGUGUGUUGAGAUUUGCUUGUAAAGACUAAGCUUUUCAUUUGUUUGGAUAUGUGCCAGCAGUUUUGGACCUUCUUAUGUAUGUUUGUCUUUGAGUGUAAUGUGUAUUUGUAUGUAUACGUACACAUAUACAUACACAGGCAGAGCUUUGAGUGCUUACUCUGCAGUUUAAGGUGGAUGGGGUUACAGAUAUUAAUAUACCUCGAUGGAUUGCUGCUUUAAUUGCCUCAUAUUUCCAUAAUAAUAUGAUUUGUUAUACUUACAUUUGGGUAUCCUGGUAGUUGUCUUGAAAUUGUAUCCUAGAAUACAUUUUUUAUUAUGACUAAUGCACAAAGUUAUCAGGAGUGUCUCAAGCAGGACUUGAGAGAAAGAUAAUAGUUACACAAUCAGAAUAUCUAUCUCCAAAGGAAAAGAGGAGAGUUAUGAAAAAUCAGAAUAUCUCCUUUCCCUUUUUCAGGAGCCAAUGCAUCCUUUGCAGCUGCUUCCAGCAACAUGUCUCAUUUUGGUUGAGUAUGAAGUUAAUUAUCCAUCAUUUGAUUCAUGUUUAGCUGUGGCUAAUAGUGGAAAUUUCAGAAAAUGGCGAGUUGCAAUUCUCGUCUGUACUUUUGAUUUUUUUCAUCAUGUAUUUACAUACAGGGCAUGUUAGCAACUCUCUGAAGUCCAGGUUGUUUUAUUCCUCUGUGGUGUGUGAUAUUACUCUCGCUUUCUUAUUAUCUUGUUGUUGUUACUGCUUGGUGCUAUUGUUUUUUCUUGUCUUUCGUGAGCCGAAGGUUUAUCAAAAAUAACCUCUCUACCUAAGUUGCUCAGAGCCUCAGACACGGGUGCAGGUCUAGAGG